rnacentral:tRNA from 1 species
GGGGAUCUAGCUCAAAUGGUAGAGCGCUCGCUUAGCAUGCGAGAGGCACUGGAUCAAUGCCAGGUUCUCCA